rnacentral:rRNA from 1 species
AUGCAAGUCGAGCGAAGCGCUUACGACAUAACCUUCGGGGGAAGAUGUAAGGGACUGAGCGGCGGACGGGUGAGUAACGCGUGGGUCACCUGCCUCAUACAGGGGGAUAACAGUUGGAAACGGCUGGCUAUACCGCAUAAGCGCACAGUAUCGCAUGAUACGGUGUGAAAAACUCCGGUGGUAUGAGAUGGACCCGCGUCUGAUUAGCUAGUUGGAGGGGGUAACGGCCCACCAAGGGCGACGAUCGGUGGCCGGCCUGAGAGGGUGAACGGCCCACAUUGGGACUGAGACACGGGCCCAGACUCCUAGGGGAGGCCAGCAGUGGGGAAAUAUUGCACAAUGGGGGAAACCCUGAUGCAGCGACGCCGCGUGAAGGAAGAAGUAUCUCGGUAUGUAAACUUCUAUCAGCAGGGAAGAAAAUGACGGUACCUGACUAAGAAGCCCCGGCUAACUACGUGCCAGCAGCCGCGGUAAUACGUAGGGGGCAAGCGUUAUCCGGAUUUACUGGGUGUAAAGGGAGCGUAGACGGAAGAGCAAGUCUGAUGUGAAAGGCUGGGGCUUAACCCCAGGACUGCAUUGGAAACUGUUUUUCUUGAGUGCCGGAGAGGUAAGCGGAAUUCCUAGUGUAGCGGUGAAAUGCGUAGAUAUUAGGAGGAACACCAGUGGCGAAGGCGGCUUACUGGACGGUAACUGACGUCGAGGCUCGAAAGCGUGGGGAGCAAACAGGAUUACAUACCCUGGUAGUCCACGCCGUAAACGAU